rnacentral:lncRNA from 1 species
CUACUGUGAUAGUUCAAGCAAUUGGAAUCUCACUUAGAAGAAAGAUGAAAUAUUUCCUAUCAAAAUGCCUUGCUGAAUACUCCCACAUGGCUGCUUGGAAAAGUUUCUGAAAGGCUCACCCACUCUCGAAUGGCCACUUUAUUUACAGGGGAAACUUAGUUGCUAUUGACUAAAUGUGUCCCUCCAAAAUGCAUAGGUUGAACCUUAACUCCCAAGGUGAUGGUUUAGGAGGUGGCUUUUAGGAAGUGAUUAGGUCAUGAGGGCGGAGCCUCACUAAUAGGAUUAACAUCCUUCUAAAAGAGACCACAGAGAGCUCCUUUACCUCUUUCCACCAUUUGAAAACAUGGCAAGAAGUCACCAUCUAUGAACCAGGAAGGAGGUCCCCACCAGACACAGAUUCUGCUACACCUUGAUCUUGGAGUUUCAGCCUCCAGAACUGCCAGCAAUAAAUGUCUGUGGUUUAAACCAUCCAGACUAUGCUAGUUUGUUAUAGCAGCCUGAAUGGAUUAAGACAGGAGUAUUCUAGGAUACCAAAAUGCAAGGAAUCACCGUCCAUUCAGUGCCCCCCAUGUACCUCCCAAGAGGCAUUUAUAGUCUUAGGAGGGCUGGGCUAGAUUAUGGGUUCCCACAGCCCAGUUUCUGCUAACUGCAUAAUUUUAUUCGUGAAGUUGCUAAGCAGUGUCCUGCCCCUUUCUUGCAUCUGGUUUGCUGGCAACAACAAACCGUGAAUUACUGUUUACUCUGCUCCAAAUGAAUAGUUCUGACCCAGGCAAUGUGUGAAACUGGUAGAAAGCAAGUUCUCCUGACAGGAAUCACUUUCCAUUCACACCAGGAGGCAUAGAAUAAAACUAAUCACACAGUUACACUUUCAGUUUCUUCCUAUAAUCACAAAGAACUGAAUCCUGACAAUAUCCAGAGAGCUCAGCAUAGGACCCCAACACUCAGAUAAGACCGCAGCUCUGUUGAUUUCAGCNNNNNNNNNNAAAUGAGCAGGGAGUCCUUCCCUAGAAGGCUGUCCAUGGGUGGAAAAAGCCUGGCCGUGAGUCAUAUGCUCCAGCUAUCAAAUGCCAAACACCUUUGUGUGGAGGAGAUACUUUGCUAGUAUCUACUAUCUACUGUGAUAGUUCAAGAAACACGCGGUGACAAAAGGGAAGAUGGAGCCCCCAUGUUGAACGUGCCUGGCUCCCAGGUAGCCCUUUUCUAUUGGCACAGCUGCCGGUAUUCACCUGUGCAAGCUUCCAGCUUGCUUAUCU